rnacentral:rRNA from 1 species
GUCCUAGCCGUAAACGAUGCACAUUAGACGUGAGGGGUAUCGACCCCCUUCGUGUCGACGCUAACGCAUUAAAUGUGCCGCCUGGGGAGUACGGCCGCAAGGUUGAAACUCAAAGGAAUUGACGGGGGCCCGCACAAGCGGUGGAGCAUGUGGUUUAAUUCGACGCAACGCGAAGAACCUUACCUGGGCUUGAACUACUAGAAGUAGCCUUGAUGAAAGUCGAGGCGGACCGUUAAGCGGAGACUAGCAGAGGUGCUGCAUGGCUGUCGU